rfam:Psychroflexus torquis ATCC 700755, complete genome.
AAAAAGUGGAGUCCAGACACCACAUAAACGGGGCGCAACUGAAAAGCCAAAUGAGUAAGACAGAU